GGGUGGAUCUGAGGAUGUUA
rnacentral:miRNA from 1 species